rnacentral:rRNA from 1 species
CAGGAUGAACGCUGGCGGCGUGCCUAAUACAUGCAAGUCGAGCGAACAGACGAGGAGCUUGCUCCUCUGACGUUAGCGGCGGACGGGUGAGUAACACGUGGAUAACCUACCUAUAAGACUGGGAUAACUUCGGGAAACCGGAGCUAAUACCGGAUAAUAUAUUGAACCGCAUGGUUCAAUAGUGAAAGACGGUUUUGCUGUCACUUAUAGAUGGAUCCGCGCCGCAUUAGCUAGUUGGUAAGGUAACGGCUUACCAAGGCAACGAUGCGUAGCCGACCUGAGAGGGUGAUCGGCCACACUGGAACUGAGACACGGUCCAGACUCCUACGGGAGGCAGCAGUAGGGAAUCUUCCGCAAUGGGCGAAAGCCUGACGGAGCAACGCCGCGUGAGUGAUGAAGGUCUUCGGAUCGUAAAACUCUGUUAUUAGGGAAGAACAAAUGUGUAAGUAACUAUGCACGUCUUGACGGUACCUAAUCAGAAAGCCACGGCUAACUACGUGCCAGCAGCCGCGGUAAUACGUAGGUGGCAAGCGUUAUCCGGAAUUAUUGGGCGUAAAGCGCGCGUAGGCGGUUUUUUAAGUCUGAUGUGAAAGCCCACGGCUCAACCGUGGAGGGUCAUUGGAAACUGGAAAACUUGAGUGCAGAAGAGGAAAGUGGAAUUCCAUGUGUAGCGGUGAAAUGCGCAGAGAUAUGGAGGAACACCAGUGGCGAAGGCGACUUUCUGGUCUGUAACUGACGCUGAUGUGCGAAAGCGUGGGGAUCAAACAGGAUUAGAUACCCUGGUAGUCCACGCCGUAAACGAUGAGUGCUAAGUGUUAGGGGGUUUCCGCCCCUUAGUGCUGCAGCUAACGCAUUAAGCACUCCGCCU